GAUGAACGCUGGCGGCGUGCUUAACACAUGCAAGUCGAACGAAACACCUUAUUUGAUUUUCUUCGGAACUGAGGCUUUGGUGAUUGAGUGGCGGACGGGUGCGUAACGCGUGGGUAACCUGCCCUGUACAGGGGGAUAACAGUCAGAAAUGACUGCUAAUACCGCAUAAGACCACAGCACCGCAUGGUGCAGGGGGAAAAACUCCGGUGGUACAGGAUGGACCCGCGUCUGAUUAGCUGGAGGGUGAGGUAACGGCUAACCAAGGCGACGAGCAGUAGCUGGCUUGAGAGAGUGAACGGCCACAAUUGGAAUGAGGCACGGCCCAAUCUGCGAGGGGAGGGUGCAGUGGGGAAUACUGCGCAAUGAAGGCAGACGUGAUGCAGCGGCGCGGGGUGAGUGGACAAGUGUGUCGGUAUGUAAAGCUCUAUCAGAAGGGGAGAAAAUGACGGUACCUGGCUAAGAAGCCCCGGCUAACUACGUG
rnacentral:rRNA from 1 species